UGCAAGUCGAACGAGAACGGGUUAUAGUUUACUAUAACUGUCAGCUAAGUGGCGCGUGCGGAAGAGUAAUAUAUAGGUAACAUGCCUCAAAGAGGGGGAUAACAUUUGGAAACGAAUGCUAAUACCCCAUAUGCCUUUAAGUCUUAAGACUGCAAGGGAAAUAUUUAUAGCUUUGAGAUUGGCCUGUACGGUAUCAGUUAGUUGGUGAGGUAAUGGCUCACCAAGACAAUGACGCCUAACUGGUUUGAGAGGAUGAUCAGUCACACUGGAACUGAGACACGGUCCAGACUCCUACGGGAGGCAGCAGUGGGGAAUAUUGCACAAUGGAGGAAACUUUGAUGCAGCAACGCCGCGUGGAGGAUGACACAUUUCGGUGCGUAAACUCCUUUUAUAUAGCAAUAUAAUGACGGUACUAUAUGAAUAAGCACCGGCUAACUCCGUGCCAGCAGCCGCGGUAAUACGGAGGGUGCAAGCGUUACUCGGAAUCACUGGGCGUAAAGAGCGUGUAGGCGGGUAGUUAAGUUUGAAGUGAAAUCCAAUGGCUCAACCAUUGAACUGCUUUGAAAACUGAUUACCUAGAAUAUGGGAGAGGUAGAUGGAAUUUCUGGUGUAGGGGUAAAAUCCGUAGAGAUCAGAAGGAAUACCGAUUGCGAAGGCGAUCUACU
rnacentral:rRNA from 1 species